GUGCUUUCCGGCAGCACAUGUACUAAAAUUGGAACGAUACAGAGAGGAUUAGCAUGGCCCCUGUGCAAGGAUGACACACAAAUUCCUGAAGCAUUCCAUAUUUAA
ensembl:snRNA U6 U6 spliceosomal RNA